rnacentral:rRNA from 1 species
UACAGAGGGGGCAAGCGUUAUUCGGAAUUAUUGGGCGUAAAGGGCGCGUAGGCGGCCUGGCAAGUGGAAGGUGAAAUCCCUCGGCUUAACCGAGGAACUGCCCUCCAAACUGCUUGGCUUGAGACCGGGAGAGGUGAGUGGAAUUCCCAGUGUAGCGGCGAAAUGCGUAGAUAUUGGGAGGAACACCAGUGGCGAAGGCGGCUCACUGGACCGGUACUGACGCUGAGGCGCGAAAGCGUGGGGAGCAAACAGG